UACGGGGGGGGCAAGCGUUGUUCGGAAUUACUGGGCGUAAAGCGCACGUAGGCGGAUCGUUAAGUCGGGGGUGAAAUCCUGGAGCUCAACUCCAGAACUGCCUUCGAUACUGGCGAUCUUGAGUCCGGAAGAGGUGAGUGGAACUCCUAGUGUAGAGGUGGAAUUCGUAGAUAUUAGGAAGAACACCGGUGGCGAAGGCGGCCCACCGGAUCGGUACUGACGCUGAGGUGCGAAAGCGUGGGGAGCAAACAGG
rnacentral:rRNA from 1 species